UACGAAGGGGGCUAGCGUUGCUCGGAAUCACUGGGCGUAAAGGGCACGUAGGCGGACUCUUAAGUCGGUGGUGAAAUCCUGGAGCUCAACUCCAGAACUGCCUUCGAUACUGAGAGUCUUGAGUCCGGGAGAGGUGAGUGGAACUGCGAGUGUAGAGGUGAAAUUCGUAGAUAUUCGCAAGAACACCAGUGGCGAAGGCGGCUCACUGGCCCGGUACUGACGCUGAGGUGCGAAAGCGUGGGGAGCAAACAGG
rnacentral:rRNA from 1 species